CCGUAACACAGGUGCUGCAUGGCUGUCGUCAGCUCGUGUCGUGAGAUGUUGGGUUAAGUCCCGCAACGAGCGCAACCCUUGUCAUUAGUUGCUACAUUCAGUUGGGCACUCUAAUGAGACUGCCGGUGACAAACCGGAGGAAGGUGGGGAUGACGUCAAGUCCUCAUGGCCCUUAUAGGUGGGGCUACACACGUCAUACAAUGGAUGGUACAAAGGGUCGCCAACCCGCGAGGGGGAGCCAAUCCCAUAAAGCCAUUCGUAGUCCGGAUCGCAGUCUGCAACUCGACUGCGUGAAGUCGGAAUCGCUAGUAAUCGUGGAUCAGAAUGUCACGGUGAAUACGUUCCCGGGUCUU
rnacentral:rRNA from 1 species